rnacentral:rRNA from 1 species
GCUUGCACAGGUGCUGCAUGGCUGUCGUCAGCUCGUGUCGUGAGAUGUUCGGUUAAGUCCGCUAACGAGCGCAACCCUCGCUGUGUGUUACAAGUGUCACACGGUACUGCCGGUCUUAAGCCGGAGGAAGGUGGGGAUGAUGUCAAGUCAGCAUGGCCUUUAUAUCCUGGGCUACACACACGCUACAGUGGCCAACACAAUAGGUUGCUAAGCCGCGAGGUGGCGCCAAUCCAUAAAGUUGGUCUCAGUUCAGAUUGUAGGCUGCAACCCGCCUGCAUGAAGAUGGAGUUGCUAGUAACCGCAGGUCAGCUAUACUGCGGUGAAUACGUUCCCGGGGCUU